rnacentral:rRNA from 1 species
GAUGAACGCUGGCGGCGUGCCUAAUACAUGCCAGUCGAGCGAACGGACGAGAAGCUUGCUUCUCUGAUGUUAGCGGCGGACGGGUGAGUAACACGUGGAUAACCUACCUAUAAGACUGGGAUAACUUCGGGAAACCGGAGCUAAUACCGGAUAAUAUUUUGAACCGCAUGGUUCAAAAGUGAAAGACGGUCUUGCUGUCACUUAUAGAUGGAUCCGCGCUGCAUUAGCUAGUUGGUAAGGUAACGGCUUACCAAGGCAACGAUGCAUAGCCGACCUGAGAGGGUGAUCGGCCACACUGGAACUGAGACACGGUCCAGACUACUACGGGAGGCAGCAGUAGGGAAUCUUCCGCAAUGGGCGAAAGCCUGACGGAGCAACGCCGCGUGAGUGAUGAAGGUCUUCGGAUCGUAAAACUCUGUUAUUAGGGAAGAACAUAUGUGUAAGUAACUGUGCACAUCUUGACGGUACCUAAUCAGAAAGCCACGGCUAACUACGUG